rnacentral:lncRNA from 1 species
GGGAAAGUGGUGAGGGGGAGGGAGGCUGGGGGACGACAGAUUUCCAGCUUCUACGACGCUCUGCCUAAAUUAAAAAGCAACCAAUCGGAACGGCCGGAAGGGGGGCCUCGCGUCCUGAGCCAGUCAUUCCGAGCCUGCCAAUCACCCAGCGGGUAGCCAAUCAGCGGGGGCCCUGGUGCUCGACUUCCUUGUAUUUGGGAAAGUGUGGUGGUGGGUGCGCGCUCGCGGCGGAGGGUAAACAUUCGACAGUCCCCGCUCUGAGAGGGAGGGACAGAGAGCGAACUGUCAGAUCGGAGCGAGAGCGGGCGCCCGAGAGAGGGAGAGAGAGAGAGAGGGAGGGAGAGGAAAAGUGAGAGAGGGAAAGAGAGCGCGAACGAGGGCGCAGAGCGAGCUCCUGCUGCAACUCUGCUCCAGCACGGCCAGCGCCAGCGCCCGCCGUCGGUGCACUCUACGAGCCGUGCAGCGUGCCCACUGGAGUUGUUGUGUAUCAAGGAUCGAUCCCCUAUAUGCACACACACACCUCCACCUCCACCAAUGCACUCUUCUUCCUCCUCCUUCUCCAGACAACUGCUGGGAAAAAAAUAAAACACCAACCCCAACCGUCAGCAACAAGAGGCAACCAAGAGCUCCGGCAAUAGCAACUUCAGAGAAAUGCACCAUCGCAAGAAGUUUUCCUAGGACAGAACAAAACUUGAAACGAGAGGACCAGAGGGGGAGAGCAGGAGCCAGCCUCCCCUCUCCGCACUCGCGAGCAGCCAGCAGCACCACGCCUUCAAGGACGAAAAAGUUUUACUACUCUAAGGGAAAACGAGUGAAAUGUGUUCCUGAGGAGGAGAGGAGAGGAGAGGAGAGAGCGGACAAGAGAAGGAGCGGGCCGGUUGCUGGUCAUCCGUAAUUUGGCUAAGGAAGAAAGGAGCAGCUUCUUUCUUUGUUAUCUCCCGUGAAACCUUCACUUAGCAGGUGGACGGAGCCCCGCGACCAGGCAGAGUCCAGGCUCGCCCGAGGACAGGAGGAGGAGCGGGAGCCCGCGCGUCCCGGGAGAGCGCCCCGAGUGCAGGUCCCCGCCCCGCCCGGCGAGCCCCGCUGGAGCGAGCCCAGCGCGCCGGGGCUGGGGGGCGGCCACGACCCCCCCUGAAGGGGGUGGCCACGGAGCGCACCCCGAGAAGCGAGCCCCCCUCCCCAGAGCGCUGCUCCU